AUUGGAGAGGAAACUGUUCAUGUAUAUAUGUCAGUAUUGUACUCAAACAGCUGCUUACACCUUUUAACUUUUAAACCUGAGAAGCAACAGGUAGUUUAUACGUUGCCCUGGGGGAUAGUGUACUCUUCUGUACUUUGCUUCUAUACAAACAGCUCAAAAUGUUAAAGUCAUGUUGUCAGCCAUACUACCCAACAACCUGGCACUGCAAUCCAUGGUCCCCGCCCCGCCUUCCGAUCGGCCAAGCCUUGAAGCCCCGAGCAGGGGCGGAGGUGGCAGCGCCCGCCCUGUCCCCGCCCAAUGUGUGCGGGGCGGCCCGGCCAUGGCGGGCGGUUACGAGCAGCUGAGCCCGAGCGGCGACAAGUCUUUCCUAAGGAAGUAGGAGCUUGACCUUGGAUAGAAAUAGGAGCAGGAUUUGAGCAGAAAAUGUUCGUGCCCAAGGCUUCUUUAAUAGUCAAAGACGGCAUUUCAGGCAAGCAGUGCUGCAUGAAUAUAAAAUCAUUCAGUCCUUUUUCAAUGAAAGUGCGAGAACAAUUGUAUUUUCCGCAUUUUUUCAAUAUAGGAUCUCGGAGCACCGGCAGCGUAGUUCAUAGGUGGUUUCUUCACACCACCUGCCGAAAAGAACUGUAACUGCAUCUGCUGUUACAAAUUAGCUCAAGGUGUUGCUGAAUUGCUGAGGGACGGAAGUUACGCCCUGGGGGUGCCAAAGGCUUCUUGGGCGUGGAUACACAUUCCUCGGGCAGUGCGGGGCAGUGCACGCUUGUUUUGCUGUAUUGCCUUUAUCUCCAGUAGGAUACGAACAGGCAGCAGUACGUGAUCCUAAUACUCUUCUCUCUUCCUUCACCUGUACAGCACACGUUAGAAGUACUUCAUCUCUUAACGUCUGAAAGGAGGUUGCUUUUCUUUAUAUAUUAGCAGUUGAUUACUUCCAGUAGCCAGGUUUCCAAAUAGGGGAAGAGUAAAACAAGAUUUUAACCCUCAAAAUUUAAGGAACGCUUGCUUAUAUUGGGCAUGGUUUACUGUUAGUGUAAUACCCUAGACUGUGUAUAAACAGUGUAAUAUCAAGCUUAAGGGAUGGUUAAUUAUCCUCUCACUGGAAGUUGAGUUGUGAAAUUUAUUAAGUCAUGAAACUGAAGAUUUCUCAUUCUCCAUACCUCUUGUUAGAAUUUAUUAGUGGGAACAGGAACCAAAACAAACAAACAACAACAAAAAAAAAAAAAAACAACCUUAAGUAUAGGCAGUGUUGUAGAUCAGAAUUAAAUAGCUCCUACGAACUAUAAAGGAAUACUACGAGGGAAAAAGUUCUUUAGUCUUUCAAGUAACAUGCCUUUUUUUUUUUUCCCCUUUUUUUCUUUU
rnacentral:lncRNA from 1 species